rnacentral:rRNA from 1 species
AGUCGAACGGGAUGCUUACGCAUCGAGUGGACGGACGGGUGAGUAACGCAUGAUAAUCUGGCUCCAGGUCGGGGACAACGGUAGGAAACGACUGCUAAUACCGGAUGUGCCGAAAGGUGAAAGAUUUAUUGCCUGGAGAUGAGCUCGCCUCUGAUUAGCUAGUUGGUAGAGUAAUGAACUACCAAGGGGACGAUCAAAAGCUGGUCUGAGAGGAUGAUCAGCCACGCUGGGACUGAGACACGGCCCAGACUCCUACUGGAGGCAGCAGUGGGGAAUUUUCCGCAGUGGGCGAAAGCCUGACGGAACAAUACCGCGUGAGGGAGGAAGGCUCUUGGGUCGUAAACCUCUUUUCUCAAGGAAGAACACCUUGUCUGUACUUGAGGAAUAAGCAUCUGGUAACUCCGUGCCGGCCGCCGCGGUAAUACGGAGGAUGCAAGCGUUAUCCGGAAUGAUUGGGCGUAAAGGGUCUGUAGGUGGUGCUGUAAGUCUGCUGAUUAAGAGCAAGGCUCAACCUUGUAAGAGCACUGGAAACUACGGGACUAAACUGCGGUAUGGGCAAAAGGAAUUCCUGGGGUACCGCUGAAAUGCGUAGAUAUCAGGAAGAACACCGGUGGCGAAAGCGUUUUGCUAGACCGCAACUGACACUGAGAACACGAAAGCUAGGGGAGCGAAUGGGAUUAGAUACCCCAGUAGUCCUAGCCGUAAACGAUGGAUACUAGGCGUGGCUUGUAUCGACCCGACCCGUGCCGGAGCUAACGCGUUGAGUAUCCCGCCUGGUCAGUCCGCACGCCAGUGUGAAACUCAAAAGAUUUGACGGGGGCCCGCACAAGCCGGUAGAGU